rnacentral:rRNA from 1 species
CCUACGGGAGGCAGCAGUGAGGAAUAUUGGUCAAUGGGCGGAAGCCUGAAGCAGCCAAGCCGCGUGAGGGAUUAAGGCCCUGCGGGUGGUAAACCUCUUUUGCCGGGGAGCAGUGGUCCGGACGCGUCCGGCACGGGAGAGUAACCGGAGAACAAGCAUCGGCUAACUCCGUGCCAGCAGCCGCGGUAAUACGUAGGAUGGGGGGGUUAGCCGGAUUUGUUGGGGUUAAAGGGCGCGUAGGCGGGCAUUUAAGCAGGCGGUAAAAUGUCGGGGCUAAACCCCGGCCUGCCGUCGAUACUGGGUGCCUUGAGUGGUCGAGAGGUAUGCGGAAUGCGUGGUGUAGCGGUGAAAUGCAUAGAUAUCACGCAGAACCCCGAUUGCGAAGGCAGCAUACCGGCGCCCUACUGACGCUGAGGCACGAAAGUGCGGGUAUCGAACAGGAUUAGAUACCCUAGUAGUC